ensembl:lncRNA
AUGACAGUGGAUUGGAGGGUGAAACUGUCCGUGGUUCUGGCUGGCACUGGGUCUGUGGUUCUGGCUGGGACAGACUCUGGGUUCUGGCUGGCACUGGGUCUCUGGGUUCUGGCUGGCACUGGGUCUGUGGUUCUGGCUGGCACUGGGUCUGGGUUCUGGCUGGCACUGGGUCUGGGUUCUGGCUGGCACUGGGUCUGGGUUCUGGCUGGCACUGGGUCUGCGGUUCUGGCUGGCACUGGGUCUGUGGUUCUGGCUGGCACUGGGUCUGGGUUCUGGCUGGCACUGGGUCUGGGUUCUGGCUGGGACAGACUCUGGGUUCUGGCUGGGAUUGGGUCUGUGGUUCUGGCUGGCACUGGGUCUGUGGUUCUGGCUGGCACUGGGUCUGUGGUUCUGGCUGGGACUGGGUCUGUGGUUCUGGCUGGCACUGGGUCUGUAGUUCUGGCUGGUACUGGGUCUGUGGUUCUGGCUGGGACAGACUCUGGGUUCUGGCUGGGUCUGUGGUUCUGGCUGGCACUGGGUCUGUGGUUCUGGCUGGCACUGGGUCUGUGGUUCUGGCUGGCACUGGGUCUGUGGUUCUGGCUGGGACUGGCUCUGGGUUCUGGCUGGCACUGGGUCUGUGGUUCUGGCUGGCACUGGCUCUGGGUUCUGGCUGGCACUGGGUCUCUGGUUCUGGCUGGCACUGGCUCUGUGGUUCUGGCUGGCACUGGGUCUGUGGUUCUGGCUGGCACUGGGUCUGGGUUCUGGCUGGCACUGGGUCUGUGGUUCUGGCUGGCACUGGCUCUGGGUUCUGGCUGGCACUGGGUCUGUGGUUCUGGCUGGGACUGGUCUGUGGUUCUGGCUGGCACUGGGUCUGUGGUUCUGGCUGGGACUGGGUCUGUGGUUCUGGCUGGGACAGACUCCGGGUUCUGGCUGGCACUGGGUCUGGGUUCUGGCUGGCACUGGGUCUGUGGUUCUGGCUGGCACUGGGUCUGGGUUCUGGCUGGGAUUGGGUCUGUGGUUCUGGCUGGGACUGGGUCUGUGGUUCUGGCUAGGACUGGCUCUGGGUUCUGGCUGGGACUGGGUCUGUGGUUCUGGCUGGCACUGGGUCUGUGGUUCUGGCUGGCACUGGGUCUGGGUUCUGGCUGGCACUGGGUCUGGGUUCUGGCUGGCACUGGGUCUGGGUUCUGGCUGGCACUGGGUCUGGGUUCUGGCUGGGACUGGGUCUGGGUUCUGGCUGGCACUGGGUCUGUGGUUCUGGCUGGGACUGGGUCUGGGUUCUGGCUGGCACUGGGUCUGUGGUUCUGGCUGGCACUGGCUCCGGGUUCUGGCUGGGACAGACUCUGGUUCUGGCUGGGAUUGGGUCUGUGGUUCUGGCUGGGACUGGAUCUGUGGUUCUGGCUGGCACUGGGUCUGGGUUCUGGCUGGCACUGGGUCUGGGUUCUGGCUGGCACUGGGUCUGGGUUCUGGCUGGGACUGGGUCUGUGGUUCUGGCUGGCACUGGCUCUGGGUUCUGGCUGGCACUGGGUCUGGGUUCUGGCUGGGACUGGGUCUGUGGUUCUGGCUGGCACUGGGUCUGUGGUUCUGGCUGGGAUUGGGUCUGUGGUUCUGGCUGGCACAGGGUCUGUGGUUCUGGCUGGCACUGGGUCUGUGGUUCUGGCUGGCACUGGGUCUGGGUUCUGGCUGGCACUGGAUCUGUGGUUCUGGCUGAGACAGACUCUGAGAUCUGGCUGGCACUGGGUCUGGGUUCUGGCUGGCACUGGGUCUGUGGUUCUGGCUGGGAUUGGGUCUGUGGUUCUGGCUGGCACUGGGUCUGUGGUUCUGGCUGGCACUGGGUCUGGGUUCUGGCUGGGACAGACUCCGGGUUCUGGCUGGCACUGGGUCUGUGGUUCUGGCUGGCACUGGGUCUGUGGUUCUGGCUGGCACUGGGUCUGUGGUUCUGGCUGGGACUGGGUCUGUGGUUCUGGCUGGGACUGGGUCUGGGUUCUGGCUGGCACUGGGUCUGUGGUUCUGGCUGGCACUGGCUCCGGGUUCUGGCUGGGACAGACUCUGGGUUCUGGCUGGCACUGGGUCUGUGGUUCUGGCUGGGACUGGGUCUGUGGUUCUGGCUGGCACUGGGUCUGGGUUCUGGCUGGCACUGGGUCUGUGGUUCUGGCUGGCACUGGCUCUGGGUUCUGGCUGGCACUGGGUCUGUGGUUCUGGGACUGGGUCUGUGGUUCUGGCUGGGACUGGGUCUGUGGUUCUGGCUGGGACAGACUCUGGGUUCUGGCUGGCACUGGGUCUGGGUUCUGGCUGGCACUGGCUCUGGGUUCUGGCUGGGACUGGGUCUGUGGUUCUGGCUGGCACUGGGUCUGUGGUUCUGGCUGGGACAGACUCUGGGUUCUGGCUGGGAUUGGGUCUGUGGUUCUGGCUGGCACUGGGUCUGUGGUUCUGGCUGGCACUGGGUCCAUGGUUCUGGCUGGCACUGGGUCUGUGGUUCUGGCUGGCACUGGGUCUGUGGUUCUGGCUGGGAUUGGGUCUGUGGUUCUGGCUGACACUGGGUCUGUGGUUCUGGCUGGCACUGGGUCUGUGGUUCUGGCUGGGAUUGGGUCUGUGGUUCUGGCUGACACUGGGUCUGUGGUUCUGGCUGGGACUGGGUCUGUGGUUCUGGCUGGCACUGGGUCUGUGGUUCUGGCUGGGACUGGGUCUGUGGUUCUGGCUGGCACUGGGUCUGGGUUCUGGCUGGCACUGGGUCUGGGUUCUGGCUGGCACUGGGUCUGUGGUUCUGGCUGGCACUGGGUCUGUGGUUCUGGCUGGCACUGGGUCUGUGGCUCUGGCUGGGACUGGGUCUGUGGUUCUGGCUGGCACUGGGUCUGUGGUUCUGGCUGGCACUGGGUCUGUGGUUCUGGCUGGGACUGGGUCUGUGGUUCUGGCUGGCACUGGGUCUGUGGUUCUGGCUGGCACUGGAUCUGGGUUCUGGCUGGCACUGGGUCUGUGGUUCUGGCUGGGACUGGGUCUGUGGUUCUGGCUGGCACUGGGUCUGUGGUUCUGGCUGGCACUGGGUCUGGGUUCUGGCUGGCACUGGGUCUGGGUUCUGGCUGGGUCAGACUCUGGGUUCUGGCUGGCACUGGGUCUGGGUUCUGGCUGGGACUGGGUCUGUGGUUCUGGCUGGCACUGGCUCUGGGUUCUGGCUGGCACUGGGUCUGUGGUUCUGGCUGGCACUGGGUCUGGGUUCUGGCUGGCACUGGGUCUGGGUUCUGGCUGGGUCAGACUCUGGGUUCUGGCUGGCACUGGGUCUGUGGUUCUGGCUGGCACUGGGUCCUUGACUAUUUCCUGGUGCCAACUGCAACUUCCCCACUGCAAUAUUUCCAGAGUGCCUUCAAAUCUGCUCAUUGUCCACAGCAAUUUCCAGGUUUUGAUUCUUCUCAGGAUGUGUCCCCUAACACACACUGCAGGGGGAUCCAAACAGAGCUACCAAGGAUCUGCUCUGAGACCACUCCCACCCUCCCCUCCUCUCCACUCCGUUUUCUUAACUAG